AACGAACGCUGGCGGCGUGCCUAAUACAUGCAAGUCGAGCGAAUGGAUUAAGAGCUUGCUCUUAUGAAGUUAGCGGCGGACGGGUGAGUAACACGUGGGUAACCUGCCCAUAAGACUGGGAUAACUCCGGGAAACCGGGGCUAAUACCGGAUAACAUUUUGAACCGCAUGGUUCGAAAUUGAAAGGCGGCUUCGGCUGUCACUUAUGGAUGGACCCGCGUCGCAUUAGCUAGUUGGUGAGGUAACGGCUCACCAAGGCAACGAUGCGUAGCCGACCUGAGAGGGUGGUCGGCCACACUGGGACUGAGACACGGCCCAGACGCCUACGGGAGGCAGCAGUAGGGAAUCUUCCGCAAUGGACGAAAGUCUGACGGAGCAACGCCGCGUGAGUGAUGAAGGCUUUCGGGUCGUAAAACUCUGUUGUUAGGGAAGAACAAGUGCUAGUUGAAUAAGCUGGCACCUUGACGGUACCUAACCAGAAAGCCACGGCUAACUACGUGCCAGCCGCCGCGGUAA
rnacentral:rRNA from 1 species